GGGUGAUUAGCUCAACUGGGAGAGCACCUCCCUUACAAGGAGAGGGUCGGCGGUUCGAUCCCGUCAUCACCCACCA
rnacentral:tRNA from 1 species